AUCACUGUUGUCUUUUUGUGCCCCCUUUCCCUCUGGUUUCACACUGGCCUGUGAAAUUCUGGUUUCUACUGGUUCGGAACACUCAUCUCUUUGAGAAGACAUGUCAGUGUUUGAUCUGAAGAAGAGCGGCUAGUGUGAGCCUUGCAGUGGCCGUACUAGGGACCCUCAGGGUCCCAGGCUCAUAGUGCAGGGACCUAGGAGGACCUCCCGUGUCCGUGUAAUUGGCUGCUGAACAAUUUGGUGGUGGAGACCACAGGUGGCACAUGUGUGUGCUGCCUCAGUGACAUCAUGGGCUCUGCAUCCUCUCCCUGCUGCUCUUCUGGAUCUUUCUCUCUGCAGAGCAUAACGUCAUUGCCUCUAGAAGUCCAAUGCGCUAUCCAUUGCGCCACGGAGCCACCACCUUCUCUUCUACUUUUGGUGUAAUGAUUUCCAGUUUCCUGUUUCCUGUUCCUCCAGUCCUGUUCAGCAGAUGGUGUGGUACACAUACAGGAGAGGUUAGCAUAUGUGGAACGCUUGGGCAGAAAGAAGCUUCUGGAGCAACGCUGUCCAAGAGAAAUAUAAUGCAAACCACCUGUGUAACGUCAAGAUUUCUAGUGGCCAAAUUAAAAAAGUAAAAAGUUCGGUGUCCCCUCAAAAAGUUAAACACCGAGUUACCAUAGGACCCAGGGAUUCUGCUCUCAGGUCUAUAACUAAAUGAAUGGAAAACAGGUGUUCAAAUCAAAACAUGUACACAAAUGUUCACAGAAGGCCCUUUGCGAUAGUCAGAAGGUGGAAGCAGCACAGUUGCCCAUCAGGGCAUAGGAUCAACAGAUAAAUGGAUCCAUGGAUAAACAAAACAGAAUGCAGCCUAGCCCUCCAACGUAGUAGUCUUCAGACACGGAAAGGAAUGAAGUAUUGACUCUUGCUACAGCACGACGAGCCUUGCAAACACUGCGCUCAGGGAACGAAGCCGGACACGAAAGGUCAUCUCCUGUAUGCUUCCGUUCAUAAGAACAGUCUAGGACAGGCAGAUCCACACAGACAGAAAGCAGAAGAGAGGUUGCCAGAGGCUGGUUUUAGAACAGAACUACCUGAGGGGGCUUGUCAACGUGCAGAUUCCCAAAUUCCAUCCCAGAUGUUUUGGCUCAGUAGGUGAAGGGU